rnacentral:rRNA from 1 species
GACGAACGCUGGCGGCGUGCCUAAUACAUGCAAGUUGAGCGCUGAAGGAUGGUACUUGUGCCCACUGGAUGAGCAGCGAACGGGUGAGUAACGCGUGGGGCAUCUGCCUUUGAGCGGGGGACAACAUCUGGAAACGAAUGCUAAUACCGCAUAAAAACUUUAAACACAAGUUUUAAGUUUGAAAGAUGCAAUUGCCUCACUCAAAGAUGAUCCCGCGUUGUAUUAGCUAGUUGGUGAGGUAAAGGCCCACCAAGGCGAGGAUACAUAGCCGGCCUGAGAGGGUGAUCGGCCCCAUUGGGACUGGGACAAGGCCCAAGCCCCUACGGGGGGGAGCAGUAGGGGAACUUCGGCAAUGGAGGGAAGUCUGACCGAGCAACGCCGCGUGAGUGGAGAAGGUUUUCGGAGCGUAAAACUCUGUUUGUAGGGAAGAACGUUGGUGAGAGUGGAAAGCUCAUCAAGUGACGGUAACUACCCAGAAAGGGACGGCUAACUACGUG